UAAGAUGGCGCCGUUUGACAAUGCAUUUAGUGAACGAACUUGACAAAUAGAUUUAAGUAAGGAAUAUAAAACUCAUAAUGUAAUGACAAAGGUGAAUAUGUGUUUAUUACAUCUAUUUAUAUAAAAUAGCUAUAUAUUUAAGAUGGUCUGAUUCAUACAAUUACUAUUUCUCAAACAAAUGAAUCGUAAACUUUACAUUUUGUCAAGACAGAUGAAUGAGUUGCUCCCCUUUUCUUCAAGUAUCGUUCGGUGACCUGGGCCUAGUAUCACGAACAUACUUAAGUCGAUACUUUGACUCAACUUUGAGAUUUUGCUCAACUUGUGAGAUGAGUGUAAACGCCUUGCUCAAGUUGGUGAUCACGAAACGUUUUUGAGAACUGAGUCAGACUCAUCUUUGAGUUUGAGCAAAAAUAAUUGAGCAAGCGUUCUACCUGUCUCAUGUUAUAAAGCAGUACUCAAACAUGGCCGCUUUCGUUGAUCGCAUUAAUCGUUUGAUAAGGCGUCAGCUGAUUGAACGCGUUUUUGCUGACCGAAGCAACCCGCUAGAAGUCUUAUCGGCCGAAGAGGUCAGAGAAAGAUACAGAUUUUGUCCGGAAACGAUUCAUUUCAUCGUGGGAGUUGUAUUCAAUGUCUUGGACUCACCGACUAGUCGGUCAUUGCCAGUGCCAACUUUGCUGUCAGUGUUGACAGCUCUCCAAUUCUUUGCGACGGGCUGUCAUCAUCUACUGUGAACAGCUAUACACGGCGUGUCAAGAUGUUCCUUGGAGCGAGUGAUCAAUCGGGUGACGGAUGCUCUAUGUUGGCAUAUGCAUCAGUUCAUAUUUUUUCCUGCUUCUGAAUACGACAAAGCUAGAGUAAAACGAGAGUUUUACAGCAUCGCUGAUGAUAUGUGACCCGCAGUUCCUCAUCACUGACGUUGUGGCGAAGUGGCCAGGCAGUGUCCACGACAGCCGAAUAUUUAGAGAGAGUUCUAUCUGCGCCAAGUUCGAGAAUGGUCAGCUUGAUGGGUUACUAUUGGGAGAUUCCGGCUAUGCCUGGCGGACAUUUCUUCUGACUCCUUAUCUGCAUACACAAACACAAUCACAGGAAAUAGCUCACAUCAGCAGACACCUUUGACUGGACAACAGAAGAUGUUGAUGUCGGGGGAUCUGGAUAACAAUUUCGUUGUUGUGUUAUUAAAAAUUUUGAAUGCUAAAAUUAAUAUGUAUACUUUGUAAGUACGUACUGGUACUACUGGUUUUUCAAACCGUACCCAGGAAACUUGAUUAUGUUCUCGUUGUACUUAUGUAUUUCUGUGUCAAGUACUGGUUCUACCUAGGAACAUGACUUUAUUAUGUUGUAAAUAUGUUUGUUAAAUGAAUAUGUAUACUUUGUAAGUACUGGUACUACUGGUUCUUCUACCCGUACCCAGGAAACUUGAUUAUGUUCUUGUUGUACUCAUGUAUUUCUGUGUCAAGUACUGGUUCUACCCAGGAACAUGACUUUAUUAUGUUGUAAAUAUGUUGCUAAAUUAAUAUGUAUACUUUGUAAGUACUGGUACUGCUGCUUUUACUAACCCUUCCCAGGAAAAUUACUUAAUUUAUUGUUACAUUCGAUUAAUAUACAUGCAUAAUAAGUACUGGUUUUACCCAGGGUUUUUUGUC